AUUGAACGCUGGCGGCAUGCCUUACACAUGCAAGUCGAACGGUAACAGGUCUUCGGAUGCUGACGAGUGGCGAACGGGUGAGUAAUACAUCGGAACGUGCCUAGUAGUGGGGGAUAACUACUCGAAAGAGUGGCUAAUACCGCAUGAGAUCUACGGAUGAAAGCAGGGGAUCGCAAGAACUUGUGCUACUAGCGCGGCCGAUGGCAGAUUAGGUAGGUGGUGGGAUAAAAGCUUACCAAGCCGACGAUCUGUAGCUGGUCUGAGAGGACGAUCAGCCACACUGGGACGGAGACACGGCCCAGACUGCUACGGGAAGCAGCAGUUGGGAAUUUUGGACAAUGGGCGAAAGCCUGAUCCAGCAAUGCCGCGUGCAGGAUGAAGGCCUUCGGGUUGUAAACUGCUUUUGUACGGAACGAAAAGCCCCGGGUUAAUACCCUGGGGUCAUGACGGUACCGUAAGAAUAAGCACCGGCUAACUACGUGCCAGCCGCCGCCGUAA
rnacentral:rRNA from 1 species